rnacentral:lncRNA from 1 species
GAAAUUGUUCAAACAGAGAGGAAGAAUGGUAACUCCAUUCCCAUUGGCUGGAGCUCCAGCACACUGCGGCGAGCAUCUCUGAAGUGGAGACCCCUCUGGAUUUUCCUGGUGUGUCAAGUCUCUGCAAGGCUAAUGACAUCCCCUCCCACUGAGGCCAGACAAGGCAACCCAGCUAGAAGAACAUAUCCCACAGACAGGCAACAGCUUUGGACUAGCCCCAGUUCCAGUUAUUCGGGACCCACAUGAAGACCAAGCUGCACAUCUGCUACAUAAAGGAUCCAUGUAUGAGUCUUUGAACAGAGAAAAAAUUCUCAAAAGAAUAUUACUCAUCUUAAAGACUUCCAUGGAAUAAAGUUCAUGAAGUGUCUGCAAUAGAAAAAUAAGGAGCCUGGCAGAUGCUCUUUUCAAUGACACCACACAGUCUCUCGGGAAGUUGCUGAUGAUGACAGCGAUGAGCUCACCUGACAGACUGCUCUUUCUCCCUCUUCGGAGACUCACAUCCACACCAGGAAGAACCCAGAGGAGUGACUCAGAAUUCCCAGCAUCAGUGCCAGCUUGUGUGCUGCUGUUCUGACCGUGAAUGUGACGAUCAUGCCAGGGAGUCAGAUGUCUGCUGGAUUUAGAAAAGGAUCGAAGGUCAUGAAGGGAAACAACAAGCCUUGCCAGGAGUUCUGUAGCUCUUACAACUUUACCACCCUUCCCAGCCAGGAGCAUAGCUACCAGAAGAGGAGGGACAACAAGGGGGAGGAAGGGAUGGCUUACUACCCUCCUCUUCUUCCUACCCUGAAAACACCCAUGUUACUGGCAUUCUCUACAGAGGAUUCAUAGCAUAAAUGAUGACAUAUAAUAAAGAGAAAAUUUAACAACUUU